GGAUUAGAUACCCUGGUAGUCCUAGCUGUAAACGAUGGAUAUUAGACGUAGGAACUGGAUUGACGGUUUCUGUGUCGCAGCUAACGCGUUAAGUAUCCCGCCUGGGGAGUACGGUCGCAAGACUAAAACUCAAAGGAAUUGACGGGACCCCGCACAAGCGGCGGAGCAUGCGGCUUAAUUCGAUGAUACCCGUAGAACCUUACCUGGACUUGACAUAUAGGGUCUAGCUAUAGAGAUAUAGUGUGCAUUAGCGCCCUAUACAGGUGGUGCAUGGCUGUCGUCAGCUCGUGCCG
rnacentral:rRNA from 1 species